GCCGCUGGGCCGCCGCCGCCUCCCGAUCCCUCGGAGGCGCGUCAGGCUUCCCUGUGGGAGGGUUCCCGAGCCCUCGGGUCUUCUCCCCGCGCUCCGGGGCCGCCGCCGCGGGAGCCGCGCCGGGCGGGUGCUGGGCGGCCGCGCCGGUGCUGCCGGCGCUCCUCCGCUGCCUGCGGCGUCCAGAGAAAAUCAAUGUCAGGGCGCGUUUUGCUUGGGGAUAAAUCGUGUUUUAGCCUUCGCGAAAAAUGUAGUCGUGGCACUGAUGUUGGUUUUCUAUUGAACUGCCUCAGUCCGAUCGAGGUGCUUUUUUCCCUGCCUGGUUAUUUAGCCACUUGUUUCUCCUGGUCCUGUGUUGUCUAGACAUAUGGAUCCCGUCCUGUUGAUCAUCUUUUACCUCUCUUUGCAUCCCUAGGUCUGGUUCUCUUCUGCAAAACACAAGAGAUAGCCUUGGCAGCUGGCCCACAGCCCACCAUGCUGCUGUCCACCCAUGUGGUCAACCUAGAGUAAGGACUAAAACCUCACCAUGAGGUAGAUGUGGAUCAGUUUGACCUUGGUUUUAGAUUUCAUCCCAAAUUCUGACUGCUGCAGAUCAAGGUAUUUAAGAUUUGCUCUCAUUGGAUGGCCUGGAGUGACAAACAGAUGACUUACACGGGUGCAAAGUUGGUUCAGGAAUGGGAUUUUCCUGCUCCAAGUGGUCAUGCUGACAGUGACUGUCACAUCCAGGGCAGGACAAAGGGACAACUUCAAGCUAUGAUCAAUGGAACAAUUUUUAGUUAAGAGCUGGACUUAUUUAAACCCAACAUCCAAAUUCCAAAGCAACUUAUUCACAGACAGAAGCCAUGCCUGCUCUUCGUGCUUACUCCAGUGUGCUACUGUGAUGUCUGUGGAACAGAUGGCUCCUGUGCCCAGGCUAAGAAGAGAAUGGCAUAUCCUGGAAAAUGAGGAGUGGAACUAAAAAUAAAGGAGUUACUGCCACUGGACUAAAAAACAUUCUCAGAUCCCCUCUUACCUCCUGUGGAAAGUCAGACACACACAGAGAACUACUCAUGUGGUCCCUCUGGAUGUCUGAAUCAGCUGCAGGACCAGCCAGCUUCUACUCUUGGUACUGUGGUGGUAGAGAGAAAUGUUCCAGCCAGCCCCGGAGGCUGCACGUUGGCACCUGAGUGGGGAAGUCUUGCUGGAUCAGACUAGCUCCAUGCAGAGCCAGUGAGAGGACAGCUGCACAAGUUAACUAUUUUAUACUGAUUCAGUAAACCAGUUUGAGCUGAUGAAGGCUUAACUAAGAAUUCUGGGGUGGCUAGUUCAGGUAGGGCACUUCCACUUUUAUCCCCAUGUCAUCCAAAUCUACUAAGAACAAAUGAAACUUUUGGAAAUUCUGACAUGCGAUGUCUGCUUACAUGAUGAAAUGUAUAAUUGAUAGAUAGUUGAAUAGAUGUGCCAUUGAAAAGAAACAUAUCUGAAAAUAGUAGCUGAAGAUACUCUUUCAGCCUAGGAUACCAAGGGUUCAGUCCAUGUAUGUUGUUCCUUUUCUAUUAAAAAUCAAAAAUUUUGGAA